rnacentral:lncRNA from 1 species
CAGACUUUUCUGCGUUUUCAGUUGUUCCAGGCUCUAGUCACAUCUCAGUUAUGUGCAAUAAUAGUCAUUGUGGAGUUGCUGCAAAUCAAAAUUUCCCAGGUAAUACCAAGUCUCAUUUAACUUCCAGAGCCAUCCAUCACCAAACAUUUUAUUGGAGAACCAAAAAGGGUGGAGUAGGGGAGCUGAGUGAAUUUCUGAGUCUGCUGGAGUUGAUAACUGUAAGUGUCAUGGCCCCAGUAUUACUAGCCAUAGAUAGAGAUAAUUUAAAAAAUCAUCCCUGUAACCCUAGGUACUGAUUAUCUAUUGCUACAUAGCAAGCCGCCUUGAAACACAUGGCUUAAAAUAACAAUUUAUUUUUAUAUCUCACAGUUCUGUGGCUUAACUGGUCUCAGCUUGGCAUCUCUCUUGUAGUUGAAGUCAAAUAGAGGCUAGGGCUACAUUCGUCUAAAGGUUCAGUUGAGUUGGAAUGUGGCAUGGCUGGCAGUUGAUGAUGACUGUUUCCUAGGAGUUCUGCUGGAGCUACAUGCCUGAACACCAACCAAUAACCUUUUCAUGUGGCUGAGACCUUUCAUAUGGCCACAGUCCUCAGAGACAGCAUCCCAAGAGUGAUCCUUUUAAGAGGCUCAGGUGCAAGGCUAGUCUAGCCUGCUGGACAAUGAGAGGCCUACGGAACAGGGCGGAGUCACCAUAUCCCACUGAAACUGGCCUAGGUUAGCCAACAGCCCACCUCUCCCAGGCACGUGAAAGCUCAGCGGACUCUGAACAGAUGGACAAUAAACAUUUACUGUGUUUGCCACAUAAGUUUUGUAUUUGUCAUUAUAAAGCAUUAUUGUGACAAUAGAGAAACUAACAUACUUUCUAAAGUGGAAUUUGAUCAUGUUGCUUAAAAAACUGUGACCGUCCAUACUAACUGCUCACCAAAUAGCCAUUAUGCCUUUUCUUUUUUCUCCUUAUAACAGAACUUGAUUUUGAUGGGGACAAAUUUU